rnacentral:tRNA from 1 species
ACUUUCAAAGGAUAUGAGACUUCCACUAAUUUUAGGCAUUAGCCCCAUUUGGUGCAACUCCAAAUGAAAGUA